rnacentral:rRNA from 1 species
GAUUAAGUUAUUAAGGGCGCACGGUGGAUGCCUUGGCACUAGAAGCCGAUGAAGGACGUUACUAACGACGAUAUGCUUUGGGGAGCUGUAAGUAAGCUUUGAUCCAGAGAUUUCCGAAUGGGGAAACCCAGCAUGAGUUAUGUCAUGUUAUCGAUAUGUGAAUACAUAGCAUAUCAGAAGGCACACCCGGAGAACUGAAACAUCUUAGUACCCGGAGGAAGAGAAAGAAAAUUCGAUUCCCUUAGUAGCGGCGAGCGAAACGGGAAGAGCCCAAACCAACAAGCUUGCUUGUUGGGGUUGUAGGACACUCUAUACGGAGUUACAAAGGACGACAUUAGACGAAUCAUCUGGAAAGAUGAAUCAAAGAAGGUAAUAAUCCUGUAGUCGAAAAUGUUGUCUCUCUUGAGUGGAUCCUGAGUACGACGGAGCACGUGAAAUUCCGUCGGAAUCUGGGAGGACCAUCUCCUAAGGCUAAAUACUCUCUAGUGACCGAUAGUGAACCAGUACCGUGAGGGAAAGGUGAAAAGCACCCCGGAAGGGGAGUGAAAUAGAACCUGAAACCGUGUGCUUACAAGUAGUCAGAGCCCGUUAAUGGGUGAUGGCGUGCCUUUUGUAGAAUGAACCGGCGAGUUACGAUUUGAUGCAAGGUUAAGCAGUAAAUGUGGAGCCGUAGCGAAAGCGAGUCUGAAUAGGGCGUUUAGUAUUUGGUCGUAGACCCGAAACCAGGUGAUCUACCCUUGGUCAGGUUGAAGUUCAGGUAACACUGAAUGGAGGACCGAACCGACUUACGUUGAAAAGUGAGCGGAUGAACUGAGGGUAGCGGAGAAAUUCCAAUCGAACCUGGAGAUAGCUGGUUCUCUCCGAAAUAGCUUUAGGGCUAGCCUCAAGUGAUGAUUAUUGGAGGUAGAGCACUGUUUGGACGAGGGGCCCCUCUCGGGUUACCGAAUUCAGACAAACUCCGAAUGCCAAUUAAUUUAACUUGGGAGUCAGAACAUGGGUGAUAAGGUCCGUGUUCGAAAGGGAAACAGCCCAGACCACCAGCUAAGGUCCCAAAAUAUAUGUUAAGUGGAAAAGGAUGUGGCGUUGCCCAGACAACUAGGAUGUUGGCUUAGAAGCAGCCAUCAUUUAAAGAGUGCGUAAUAGCUCACUAGUCGAGUGACACUGCGCCGAAAAUGUACCGGGGCUAAACAUAUUACCGAAGCUGUGGAUUGUCCUUUGGACAAUGGUAGGAGAGCGUUCUAAGGGCGUUGAAGCAUGAUCGUAAGGACAUGUGGAGCGCUUAGAAGUGAGAAUGCCGGUGUGAGUAGCGAAAGACGGGUGAGAAUCCCGUCCACCGAUUGACUAAGGUUUCCAGAGGAAGGCUCGUCCGCUCUGGGUUAGUCGGGUCCUAAGCUGAGGCCGACAGGCGUAGGCGAUGGAUAACAGGUUGAUAUUCCUGUACCACCUAUAAUCGUUUUAAUCGAUGGGGGGACGCAGUAGGAUAGGCGAAGCGUGCGAUUGGAUUGCACGUCUAAGCAGUAAGGCUGAGUAUUAGGCAAAUCCGGUACUCGUUAAGGCUGAGCUGUGAUGGGGAGAAGACAUUGUGUCUUCGAGUCGUUGAUUUCACACUGCCGAGAAAAGCCUCUAGAUAGAAAAUAGGUGCCCGUACCGCAAACCGACACAGGUAGUCAAGAUGAGAAUUCUAAGGUGAGCGAGCGAACUCUCGUUAAGGAACUCGGCAAAAUGACCCCGUAACUUCGGGAGAAGGGGUGCUCUUUAGGGUUAACGCCCAGAAGAGCCGCAGUGAAUAGGCCCAAGCGACUGUUUAUCAAAAACACAGGUCUCUGCUAAACCGUAAGGUGAUGUAUAGGGGCUGACGCCUGCCCGGUGCUGGAAGGUUAAGAGGAGUGGUUAGCUUCUGCGAAGCUACGAAUCGAAGCCCCAGUAAACGGCGGCCGUAACUAUAACGGUCCUAAGGUAGCGAAAUUCCUUGUCGGGUAAGUUCCGACCCGCACGAAAGGCGUAACGAUUUGGGCACUGUCUCAACGAGAGACUCGGUGAAAUCAUAGUACCUGUGAAGAUGCAGGUUACCCGCGACAGGACGGAAAGACCCCGUGGAGCUUUACUGUAGCCUGAUAUUGAAAUUCGGCACAGCUUGUACAGGAUAGGUAGGAGCCUUUGAAACGUGAGCGCUAGCUUACGUGGAGGCGCUGGUGGGAUACUACCCUAGCUGUGUUGGAUUUCUAACCCGCACCACUUAUCGUGGUGGGAGACAGUGUCAGGCGGGCAGUUUGACUGGGGCGGUCGCCUCCUAAAAGGUAACGGAGGCGCUCAAAGGUUCCCUCAGAAUGGUUGGAAAUCAUUCAUAGAGUGUAAAGGCAUAAGGGAGCUUGACUGCGAGACCUACAAGUCGAGCAGGGUCGAAAGACGGACUUAGUGAUCCGGUGGUUCCGCAUGGAAGGGCCAUCGCUCAACGGAUAAAAGCUACCCCGGGGAUAACAGGCUUAUCUCCCCCAAGAGUUCACAUCGACGGGGAGGUUUGGCACCUCGAUGUCGGCUCAUCGCAUCCUGGGGCUGUAGUCGGUCCCAAGGGUUGGGCUGUUCGCCCAUUAAAGCGGUACGCGAGCUGGGUUCAGAACGUCGUGAGACAGUUCGGUCCCUAUCCGUCGUGGGCGUAGGAAAUUUGAGAGGAGCUGUCCUUAGUACGAGAGGACCGGGAUGGACAUACCUCUGGUGUACCAGUUGUCGUGCCAACGGCAUAGCUGGGUAGCUAUGUGUGGACGGGAUAAGUGCUGAAAGCAUCUAAGCAUGAAGCCCCCCUCAAGAUGAGAUUUCCCAACUUCGGUUAUAAGAUCCCUCAAAGAUGAUGAGGUUAAUAGGUUCGAGGUGGAAGCAUGGUGACAUGUGGAGCUGACGAAUACUAAUCGAUCGAAGACUUAAUCAA